CCGUCCCUCGCCGUCCUUCGCCAUCGCACGCCACCGCACCCCAUCUCUCGAAAUCUGCAGACAUCUUGAUUUUUCCCACGCUGUCUGUCAGGUCUCCGCCGCCACUCGACGCCAGGGCGCCGGGCCUUGUGGGCUGUGCUGCACCUCGGACGGCUUCGCACCAGCCAGCGCCCUCUCUCUCCUGCAGCACUCUGAUCUGCACCCCCUGAGGGGCUUCCACUGUCCGCGGGGUGAGAAUGCCCCUGGGAGUGUCACAUGACUGCCGCCCCAUGUGUGUGAGAGGCGUCCUCUGGGAGAGCAUGGAUCCUGAGGUCCCAGGAUUGUCAGCUGACCUCUGUCCUGUGUGCCCAGUGGCCCCAGGUGACGUGUCUUCAAGAAGAGGCUGAGCUGCGGUGCUUGUAAGGUCUCAGCCUUAGAUCCAAGGACAGUCCAAGGAAGUCCUAAGACCAUGGAGUUGGUGAUCUGGGAUCUGGGUUUGCUGAUAUUUCUCACCGUGAAUCUCUUGGUGGUGUUUGUGGGCACGAGAGGGGCAGAGAAUGGAGAGUGAGGCUACCACAUGAAGCGUCACCAGAGCUGCUCCCUGCUGCCUGCUCAGAGCACCCCGGAUCCACUGUUCAAUCUGCACAAGAUUCGGGGUCCAGACAUGGGAGACUUCAGCUGCCUCAGAGGACCGUGGACAGGGAAGGCCAGCCUCGCAUCCCUCUGUCCAUGCCUGGAAUGACUUUAAUAACCAAGAGUUUUAUUUUUGAAUUUGUAGCUGUCGUUCACUUUUUACCCACCCAUUCAAUAAACCUUACAGAAUUGC
rnacentral:lncRNA from 1 species